AAUAAAGUGCCUGAUUAAAAGGGUUAUCUUGAUAGGAUAAAUUAUAUGUUUAUUCAUCUUUAUUA
rnacentral:tRNA from 2 species